AUUGAACGCUGGCGGCAGGCCUAACACAUGCAAGUCGAGCGGUUGAGGUAGCUUGCUACCGAUGCAGCGGCGGACGGGUGAGUAAUACAUGGGAAUCUGCCUGGUAGUGGGGGACAACGUUUCGAAAGGAACGCUAAUACCGCAUACGCCCUACGGGGGAAAGGGGGGGAUCUUCGGACCUCUCGCUAUCAGAUGAGCCCAUGUCGGAUUAGCUUGUUGGGGAGGUAAAGGCUCACCAAGGCGACGAUCCGUAACUGGUCUGAGAGGAUGAUCAGUCACACUGGAACUGAGACACGGUCCAGACUCCUACGGGAGGCAGCAGUGGGGAAUAUUGGACAAUGGGCGCAAGCCUGAUCCAGCCAUGCCGCGUGUGUGAAGAAGGCCUUAGGGUUGUAAAGCACUUUCAGUGGGGAGAAAGGUCAUUCACCCAAUACGUGAGUGAAUUGAUGUUACCCACAGAAGAAGCACCGGCUAACUCCGUGCCAGCAGCCGCCGUAA
rnacentral:rRNA from 1 species